AAAGCCCGCUCGCCGGAAGACCAAGGGUUCCUGUCCAACGUUAAUCGGGGCAGGGUGAGUCGACCCCUAAGGCGAGGCCGAAAGGCGUAGUCGAUGGGAAACAGGUUAAUAUUCCUGUACUUGGUGUUACUGCGAAGGGGGGACGGAGAAGGCUAUGUUGGCCGGGCGACGGUUGUCCCGGUUUAAGCGUGUAGGCUGGUUUUCCAGGCAAAUCCGGAAAAUCAAGGCUGAGGCGUGAUGACGAGGCACUACGGUGCUGAAGCAACAAAUGCCCUGCUUCCAGGAAAAGCCUCUAAGCAUCAGGUAACAUCAAAUCGUACCCCAAACCGACACAGGUGGUCAGGUAGAGAAUACCAAGGCGCUUGAGAGAACUCGGGUGAAGGAACUAGGCAAAAUGGUGCCGUAACUUCGGGAGAAGGCACGCUGAUAUGUAGGUGAAGUCCCUCGCGGAUGGAGCUGAAAUCAGUCGAAGAUACCAGCUGGCUGCAACUGUUUAUUAAAAACACAGCACUGUGCAAACACGAAAGUGGACGUAUACGGUGUGACGCCUGCCCGGUGCCGGAAGGUUAAUUGAUGGGGUUAGCGGUAACGCGAAGCUCUUGAUCGAAGCCCCGGUAAACGGCGGCCGUAACUAUAACGGUCCUAAGGUAGCGAAAUUCCUUGUCGGGUAAGUUCCGACCUGCACGAAUGGCGUAAUGAUGGCCAGGCUGUCUCCACCCGAGACUCAGUGAAAUUGAACUCGCUGUGAAGAUGCAGUGUACCCGCGGCAAGACGGAAAGACCCCGUGAACCUUUACUAUAGCUUGACACUGAACAUUGAGCCUUGAUGUGUAGGAUAGGUGGGAGGCUUUGAAGUGUGGACGCCAGUCUGCAUGGAGCCGGCCUUGAAAUACCACCCUUUAAUGUUUGAUGUUCUAACGUUGGCCCCUGACCGGGGUUGCGGACAGUGUCUGGUGGGUAGUUUGACUGGGGCGGUCUCCUCCUAAAGAGUAACGGAGGAGCACGAAGGUUGGCUAAUCCUGGUCGGACAUCAGGAGGUUAGUGCAAUGGCAUAAGCCAGCUUGACUGCGAGCGUGACGGCGCGAGCAGGUGCGAAAGCAGGUCAUAGUGAUCCGGUGGUUCUGAAUGGAAGGGCCAUCGCUCAACGGAUAAAAGGUACUCCGGGGAUAACAGGCUGAUACCGCCCAAGAGUUCAUAUCGACGGCGGUGUUUGGCACCUCGAUGUCGGCUCAUCACAUCCUGGGGCUGAAGUAGGUCCCAAGGGUAUGGCUGUUCGCCAUUUAAAGUGGUACGCGAGCUGGGUUUAGAACGUCGUGAGACAGUUCGGUCCCUAUCUGCCGUGGGCGCUGGAGAACUGAGGGGGGCUGCUCCUAGUACGAGAGGACCGGAGUGGACGCAUCACUGGUGUUCGGGUUGUCAUGCCAAUGGCACUGCCCGGUAGCUAAAUGCGGAAGAGAUAAGUGCUGAAAGCAUCUAAGCACGAAACUUGCCCCGAGAUGAGUUCUCCCUGACUCCUUGAGAGUCCUGAAGGAACGUUGAAGACGACGACGUUGAUAGGCCGGGUGUGUAAGCGCAGCGAUGCGUUGAGCUAACCGGUACUAAUGAACCGUGAGGCUUAACCUUACAA
rnacentral:rRNA from 1 species